GCAUUAAUGGUGUAGCGGUAACAUACUUCCCUUCCAUGUCUGUGACAGGAAGUGCUCUGGGUUCGACUCCCAGUUAAUGCA